UUGUAACGUUUCGUUGUAAAACGUUUUGCUACGUUUUGCCCUAAUCAAUACAGCCCUGUAAACUGUUAGCGCCACAGUUUCCCGGGAUGGUAUUUUUCUGCCAACUUCCUUGUGCUGCAUUUUUACCUUUGGGUAAUGUUUUAUUAGACAUUGGAUCGUCAAAUCAUCCUCUGAAUGAUCUGACCCCCUUUUUUUUUCAAUUUUCGCCUAAAAUGACAUACCCAAAUCUAACUGUCUGUAGGAAGGAUAGUGCAACAGCUAACCUCAAAGGUUCUUAUGAUCAAAGGGACCAACUGAUAGCUAAAGAAGUAAAGUCAUGCUGCUGCCAUCGUGGGCUCUCCGACCGGGGAGGAAGGAGACCCAUGGGAAUGCUGUCUCUGCCCCUCCAGCUCCCCUCCUGCCACCCGCCCCAGGGUACUCUCUCCUGGGCAUCGUCGUAGCUGGACUGGACCCCUCCUGGGAGCUGCUGGAGGUCAGACCUGCCUCUCUGCCCCCCGGCUCCAUCAUCCCUGGGGUAGGGGUUACCAUGUGGGUUACUGUGAUGGGAUUGGGAUUUCCUGGAAGGACUUUGGAGAGAAGGACAGAGGAGAUAACAUUACUG
rnacentral:lncRNA from 1 species